CUCGGGGUCAGUCGGAUGGAGUACACUGGGUCCCCGCAUCCUCCGGCUCCCACUCACUCCCGCUGGUCGCCGGUUAACUAAACUCUCAGCUUUAAACCAACAGUAAGAGGAGACAUUAAGAUUUUCAUUCUUUCUGGGUUGUCUCCUUCCUGAAGAGCAAUGGAAACACUUUUACCUAGAAGAGGAGUAAUCAUAUCUCUAAUUUUCUUCCUGUUAAAAUUCUCAACAGCAAUUGAAAUACCACCCUCAGUUCAACAGGUUCCAACAAUCAUAAAACAGUCAAAAGUCCAAGUUGCCUUUCCCUUUGAUGAGUAUUUUCAAAUUGAAUGUGAAGCUAAAGGGAAUCCAGAACCAACGUGAGUAUUCUUUCAAAUUAAA
rnacentral:lncRNA from 1 species